rnacentral:rRNA from 1 species
GACGAACGCUGGCGGCGUGCUUAACACAUGCAAGUCGAACGGAAAGGCCCUGCUUUUGUGGGGUGCUCGAGUGGCGAACGGGUGAGUAACACGUGAGUAACCUGCCCUUGACUUUGGGAUAACUUCAGGAAACUGGGGCUAAUACCGGAUAGGAGCUCCUGCUGCAUGGUGGGGGUUGGAAAGUUUCGGCGGUUGGGGAUGGACUCGCGGCUUAUCAGCUUGUUGGUGGGGUAGUGGCUUACCAAGGCUUUGACGGGUAGCCGGCCUGAGAGGGUGACCGGCCACAUUGGGACUGAGAUACGGCCCAGACUCCUACGGGGGGCAGCAGUGUGGAAUAUUGCACAAUGGGCGGAAGCCUGAUGCAGCAACGCCGCGUGCGGGAUGACGGCCUUCGGGUUGUAAACCGCUUUCGCCUGUGACGAAGCGUGAGUGACGGUAAUGGGUAAAGAAGCACCGGCUAACUACGUG